rnacentral:rRNA from 1 species
UACGAACUGUGCGAACGUUAUUCGGAAUCACUGGGCUUAAAGGGUGCGUAGGCGGCAAUGAAGGUCAGAUGUGAAAUCCCACGGCUCAACCGUGGAACUGCGUUUGAAACCACAUUGCUUGAGGAAGUCAGAGGUAAGCGGAACUGAUGGUGGAGCGGUGAAAUGCGUUGAUAUCAUCAGGAACACCGGUGGCGAAAGCGGCUUACUGGGACUUUUCUGACGCUGAGGCACGAAAGCCAGGGGAGCGAACGGG